CUGCAUUCUAAAAGAAACCAUUACAAAAAAUAAGGAAAAAUUAAUUUUACAAACUAUGUCAUAUGUUUUCUUUGUUUCCUCAAUAUAACUCUGAUUAGAAUGUCAAACAAAGAUAAAAUCAUCCGUAUUAAUCGUCAGUAUCGUGUAUAUUAUUAAUAUGAACGUCUUUGCGUUACAUUCGUGCUUCACCAUGCACUUAUAUCGACGUCGCAAUGCAAAAGAAGAAGGGCAAGAAAGAAACCUGUCCUGGUCUGGCGAUUUAAGGGAACAUCUGUUUAAGCCUUUCUAGAUCUUUUAUCAGUCUAGAAAGAUGUUGGAGAAAAGACAUCAUCCUCUUCUAUAAUCUCCAUCUGUAAUUGGACUAACUGGACCAGUGAAUGCAGGCAACUUACUCUCCAUUCGACCUUGCAGGUCACACCAUGGUCUCAAGAGGGAAAAUGAGUGCUCUAUGGAUUGAACAGAAAAGGAGAAUCAAAACUCCAACCAUCUGUAUGAGGGUCUGGAUGGAUAAAGGAUGCCCACUGGAGCUGGAAAUGAUGGAUCAGGUGGAUCCACACUUGAACCAUCUGUAUGAUGAUCUGCACCCACUGGAUCUGUAAAUGGUGGAGCAGGUUUCUGAAUUGAUGUCAGAUGCAAAGCAGAAGUUUAUUUUCUUCCAGUUUGGCUUCAUUGUGGAAAAAUGC